rnacentral:rRNA from 1 species
GAUGAACGCUGGCGGCGUGCCUAAUACAUGCAAGUCGAACGCACAGCGAAAGGUGCUUGCACCUUUCAAGUGAGUGGCGAACGGGUGAGUAACACGUGGACAACCUGCCUCAAGGCUGGGGAUAACAUUUGGAACCAGAUGCUAAUACCGAAUAAAACUCAGUGUCGCAUGACACAAAGUUAAAAGGCGCUUUGGCGUCACCUAGAGAUGGAUCCGCGGUGCAUUAGUUAGUUGGUGGGGUAAAGGCCUACCAAAACAAUGAUGCUUAGCCGAUUUAGAGGACAGAUCGGCCCAAUUGGGACUGAGACACGGCCCAAACUCCUACGGGAGGCUGCAGUAGGGAAUCUUCCACAAUGGGCGAAAGCCUGAUGGAGCAACGCCGCGUGUGGGAUGAAGGCUUUCGGGUCGUAAAGCACUGUUGUAUGGGAAGAACAGCUAGAAUAGGGAAUGAUUUUAGUUUGACGGUACCAUACCAGAAAGGGACGGCUAAAUACGUGCCAGCCGCCGCCGUAA